UUGCAGUGUGCCUCAUUGUGUCCGCCCUGUCUGUUGUUUCAGAUUGGGAAGUAAAUAAAUGCUACUGGAUCGAGGCCCCUCAUCUCUCCUGCCUCUUCAAUCAUCCAAAGACUGUUUAGUCUGUUAUUUUAAUGUAAUGGUCGGUUCAUGUCCGUUGCAUUGACUUGACUUGUCAUUGGGUCUGAUUUUAAAUGUGCCAUAUAGUUCAAUGUGGGAGCAGGUUCACACACCAAAUAAGACACUAAGGUCAAGCACAAGCAGAUUUUUUGUUUUAUUUUUCUCAGAGCAGAGUAGAGCAGAUGUUUCAGGUUGCUGCCAUCAGAGAGCAGUGACUUGACCUCAGUGUCUUAUUUAGUGUACUCCCACAUUGAACUCUACUUUUUGGGUCCACGCACCUACUUAUUUCUAAACAUCUAGAGUGCAACAAUACCCCUGCCUCCUAAUGUGCCAUAUAACCUGUAUCUCGCCUAUUGUGUGUGUGUGUGUGUGUGUUUGUGAAUGUGUUCACGCAGAUAUAAGAAGUUGGGGUUGGGGUUGAUGAUCCACAUGAUGGUGAUGGACCAGGACAGCUCUGGACCUCCUGACUGGCAGCUCCAUCCUCAACCUCCCUUCCUGUCCUUCACACAUGUGCAGGCAGAGAGGCAGUUUUCUGAAGGAUGGUUAAUGUCAGUACCAACAUGUUGUGAUGGAGGCUUCCACCUGAGCUGAACACAGAAACUUGCACACAGUGAUGGAAGCAGUCGUUCCUGUUCAGCAUUGAUAUGCCGGUAAUGGGUUUGAUGAGCCACAGCAUAGUGAUGGGCAAUCAGCAUCAGGACCAGGGCCGCUCACAAGGAGAACCUCCUGCCCUGCCUCUUCAUCCUCAACCUCCAAUCUUCCUGCUCUUCACACAUGUGCAGGCACAGAACCAGUUUUCAGAGGGAGGGCUGAUGACACCAGCAACUUCGGAUCUGAACCUGAUCAACCCAGCACCAACCACUGUGCCGCUCCUCCUCUGUCAACUGCACCACAUGGCUCCACCAUCUCAAAAAGGCACAGACACUACUCCACUUCCUGCGAAGGAUGAGAGAAGAGCCGACCUCCCCACAACGGCACUCACCACCUUCUACAGGGGUGUCAUUGAGAGCAUCCUGACCAGCAGCCUCUCUGUCUGGCAUGGCAGCCGUCAAGCUGAAGACUAGAAGGCAGCAGAGCCAUCUAAUAUCAGAGUUACGCCACUCCCAUAGACCUCUAUGGACCAAUCUUUCCACAGCAAUGGCGGCUCCCAUGGAGCCUCACGGAGCGUUAACAUGGAAAUCCCCAUUGACUUUAGUUCUAUUAGAAGUUACUUAGUUCCAUGAGGUGGCCGUAGAACACAGAAAAUGUGGUAAAGGUAAUGUAAUUUGUUUGUACUUAAUCUUUGUUUGGUAUGUGAUGGUUCUGUGUUAGUUUCCAACGAACAGAAGUUUACUGUUAAGAAACAUUUUAAUCUACGCGAAUCACAUCACCAACCGACUUCCUGGUCCCCGGUUUGCGCAACUCUGUUAUUAGAUGG